UACGUAGGGAGCAAGCGUUGUCCGGAAUCAUUGGGCGUAAAGCGCGCGUAGGCGGCCUUGUAAGUCCGUUGUGAAAGUCAAAGGCUCAACCUUUGAAAGCCGAUGGAUACUGCAAGGCUAGAGUCCGGAAGAGGCGAGUGGAAUUCCUGGUGGUAGCGGUGGAAUGCGCAGAUAGUCAGGAGGAACACCAAUAGCGAAGGCAGCUCGCUGGGACGGU
rnacentral:rRNA from 1 species